GCAGGCAUUGUAUAACAGGCUAAUACACUGGUUUGCCGAACCAGAGACUGCGGGUUCGAAUCCCGUUGCUUGCU
rnacentral:tRNA from 1 species